GAUCCUGGCUCAGAUUGAACGCUGGCGGCAGGCCUAACACAUGCAAGUCGAACGGUAACAGGAAGAAGCUUGCUUCUUUGCUGACGAGUGGCGGACGGGUGAGUAAUGUCUGGGAAACUGCCUGAUGGAGGGGGAUAACUACUGGAAACGGUAGCUAAUACCGCAUAACGUCGCAAGACCAAAGAGGGGGGACCUUCGGGCCGUCUUGCCAUCGGAUGUGCCCACGAUGGGAUUAGCUUGUUGGUGGGGUAACGGG
rnacentral:rRNA from 1 species